ACUGCUAAACAAAAAACUCAUAAAAGAAACUCGUCUUGUGCUCAACUUGUUUGAAGCCCCCCCAAAAAUGGCAGAUUCUCAAGUAGAACCUGUAGCUAUGACUGGUGUAGUUAACACUGAUAAUUCUCAAAUUCGUCCACCUUCUACUCAUUCCGAACAACUCAAGGUAAUUUGUAAAUAAUCAAUUUCUCUGCAAUCUUAAUGUUUAACUAAGAUUAUAAAUUUUUUGUAAAGUUAUGGCUCCAUUCGUAGCUUUCAAAUUCUGUAAAAAUUAAGUCGAUUAUCCUCAAGUUCAUAUUACCGAGUGGAAGAAACGUUCUUAUUUGAAGGAAGAAGAGAAGAAGGGAGAGGAAGCCAAGGAAGAGAAGAAGAGAGAGGAAGAGAAAAAGAAUGGACAACAAAACCUAAACUCAAGCCUCAUCAUUACAGGAGUGGUGGUUGCUGUGAUUGGAGCUAUAUUUGCUAUAUUUAAGAAUAUUAAAAAGGCAUGAAAUGGUACGUACUGUGUUUUACUUCUUUCAAUAUUUAUGUUGUAACUGUAAAAGCAUGACAUUGUAAAUGUAAAAUCUCGUAAUAAUAUUUGAACUCUCAGUAGUCAGCGUGGGAACGUAUCAGUAUCACACGAAAGCAGGUGAAUAAAUUGGAGAAUUCAGGCUUUUACUGUUAAUUUUCGAUAACUCCUGUUUGAUUCCUUUAUUUUCUAUAUGCACCUUUAUUGAGGGCUUUGACUGAUUUGAUACAGAUUGGAUUUUAGGAAAAAUAAAUCAAAAUUUAAAAGGAUUGGAGUCCAAAACUUGGUCACGUGGGAUUCUUAUGAAUUUCAAUUGGAUUUGAUGUAAGGAUUUUUUAAUUAAAUAUGGGCUUGUAUGUGUGAGUAAUUGUGUGUUAAAUUAUAGACUAUCGAAUUCGGUUGAGCCCAAUUAAAGUGAUCUAAUAAGGCUCCGAUUUUGAGCUUUAAUGUAUCCCGUUAAAGUAUGGAUUUACAUAUGUGUAAAGAUCGGGCCCAAGUCCUAAUUCUAUGAUGAGCCGAAUUAG
rnacentral:lncRNA from 1 species